rnacentral:rRNA from 1 species
UACGAAGGGGGCUAGCGUUGCUCGGAAUGACUGGGCGUAAAGGGCGCGUAGGCGGCUUGUACAGUCAGAUGUGAAAUUCCUGGGCUCAACCUGGGGGCUGCAUUUGAUACGUAUGGGCUUGAGUGGGGAAGAGGGUCGUGGAAUUCCCAGUGUAGAGGUGAAAUUCUUAGAUAUUGGGAAGAACACCGGUGGCGAAGGCGGCGACCUGGUCCUUGACUGACGCUGAGGCGCGAAAGCGUGGGGAGCAAACAGG